CCUGGCUCACGUUGAAGGCUAGCUACAGGCUUAACACAUGCAAGUCGAGGGGUAGCAUUUCAGUUUGCUUGCAAACUGGAGAUGGCGACCGGCGCACGGGUGAGUAACGCGUAUCCAACCUGCCGAUAACUCGGGGAUAGCCUUUCGAAAGAAAGAUUAAUACCCGAUGGCAUAAUUAGACCGCAUGGUCUUAUUAUUAAAGAAUUUCGGUUAUCGAUGGGGAUGCGUUCCAUUAGGCAGUUGGUGAGGUAACGGCUCACCAAACCUUCGAUGGAUAGGGGUUCUGAGAGGAAGGUCCCCCACAUUGGAACUGAGACACGGUCCAAACUCCUACGGGAGGCAGCAGUGAGGAAUAUUGGUCAAUGGGCGCAGGCCUGAACCAGCCAAGUAGCGUGAAGGAUGACUGCCCUAUGGGUUGUAAACUUCUUUUAUAUGGGAAUAAAGUUUUCCACGUGUGGAAUUUUGUAUGUACCAUAUGAAUAAGGAUCGGCUAACUCCGUGCCAGCAGCCGCGGUAAUACGGAGGAUCCGAGCGUUAUCCGGAUUUAUUGGGUUUAAAGGGAGCGUAGGUGGAUAGUUAAGUCAGUUGUGAAAGUUUGCGGCUCAACCGUAAAAUUGCAGUUGAUACUGGCUGUCUUGAGUACAGUAGAGGUGGGCGGAAUUCGUGGUGUAGCGGUGAAAUGCUUAGAUAUCACGAAGAACUCCGAUUGCGAAGGCAGCUCACUGGACUGCAACUGACACUGAUGCUCGAAAGUGUGGGUAUCAAACAGGAUUAGAUACCCUGGUAGUCCACACAGUAAACGAUGAAUACUCGCUGUGUGCGAUAUACAGUAAGCGGCCAAGCGAAAGCAUUAAGUAUUCCACCUGGGGAGUACGCCGGCAACGGUGAAACUCAAAGGAAUUGACGGGGGCCCGCACAAGCGGAGGAACAUGUGGUUUAAUUCGAUGAUACGCGAGGAACCUUACCCGGGCUUAAAUAGCAUUUGAAUAAUCUGGAAACAGGUUAGCCGUAAGGCAAAUGUGAAGGUGCUGCAUGGUUGUCGUCAGCUCGUGCCGUGAGGUGUCGGCUUAAGUGCCAUAACGAGCGCAACCCUUAUCUUUAGUUACUAACAGGUUAUGCUGAGGACUCUAGAGAGACUGCCGUCGUAAGAUGUGAGGAAGGUGGGGAUGACGUCAAAUCAGCACGGCCCUUACGUCCGGGGCUACACACGUGUUACAAUGGGGGGUACAGAAGGCAGCUACCUGGUGACAGGAUGCUAAUCCCAAAAGCCUCUCUCAGUUCGGAUCGAAGUCUGCAACCCGACUUCGUGAAGCUGGAUUCGCUAGUAAUCGCGCAUCAGCCAUGGCGCGGUGAAUACGUUCCCGGGCCUUGUACACACCGCCCG
rnacentral:rRNA from 1 species